rnacentral:rRNA from 1 species
GACUAACGCUGGCGGCGUGCCUAACACAUGCAAGUCGAACGAGAAUCUGGAGGUUCAAGUUUUCGGACAAGAACUUUCGGAGGAAAGUGGCGGAAGGGUGAGUACAACAUGGGAUAAUCUACCUUCAAGUUGGGUAUAGCUUCCCGAAAGGGGAGAUAAUCCCGAAUGUGGUGAUCCGGCGCCUGUCGGAGAAUCCAAAGGUGGGGACCGCAAGGCCUGCCGCUUGAAGAUGAGUCCGUGCACUAUCAGCUAGUUGGUGAGGUAAUGGCUCACCAAGGCGAUGACGGUUAGCUGGUCUGAGAGGAUGGUCAGCCACACUGGGACUGAGAUACUGCCCAGACUCCUACGGGAGGCUGCAGUAGGGAAUAUUAGAAAUGGACGAAAGUCUGAUCUAGCAACACCGCGUGUGCGAAGAAGGCCUUCGGGUCGUAAGCACUUUUUGGAAGGAAUAGGAAGGAAUGAACUUUCCAGAAUAAGUCUCGGCUAACUACGUGCCAGCACG